UAGUGAGUAUCAAUAACUAAUAGAACUUCGAUUUGUGUCUACGUUUGAAUUCUAGGUUAAUUUGCUGGAUUUGUUGGAUUGGUAAAAUAUAGGUUGCUUUACGUGUCUUUUGUUCAAUUUCAUUGGUAAGUCGUAGGCUUUUUCGUGUUUCUAACUCAAUUCAGCUUUGCUAUUAGUAGAUUGAUUUAAUAUCUUUUAAAAAAAUUGAUUUUUGGGUCUUUUUGCAGUAGGAAUCCAACACCUAUUUACAGAAUAAGUUUUCUUUAAGAGAAAUUAGGGUUAAACUGACUAGAUAUUGACUUUGGGUAGUAGUUAUUUAGUCAGUUGUUUAUUGGGGCUUCAAUAAAAUUGCUCGGAGGCCAUGACACCGAUGACCAUAGAUCUGUGUGGACUAAAUUUUAUAUAAAUUACUCAAUCGAUAAGUUUUUUGGUGAGUCCAAUUUUAGUAGUCUGGAAAGAGGACUGAUGAAAGGUAUUAAAUUGAUGAGCAGCGAGCUAUAUAAUAUGCAUAAUUAAUUUUUAUGAACCAAAUAUAGAGCUAUUCACUGAGUAUAGCUUUCUGUCAACAACAUAGGUGUAUUCAUUACCCUAAAGAGGUUGGUAAACACUGAGUCAUUAGUUUGACAUUACCUUUUAUUUUGGGUUAGUUCCGGAUGUGGCUUAUUUGAUGAAUCCUUUUCUGAACUUUAGUAUUGAAGGAAGACCAAUGAUUUGUAGCGAGAAAUGUCGAUUAUAUGUCACCAUCUUUAGCUAAAACUAGAUUCGACUGCUAGUAGGCCUUUUUUUUGUUUCAUGCAUAGUGCAUUACAUUAGGCUUGUUCUCAUAUUAGUUUUUUAAGUCUUAGUAUUUCAUUUUAAGUUGAACUAGACUGGUCUCUUAAACCAUCAAAACUUGAAUAUUCUGUUAACAAGCAUGUCACUGUUUUGGGAUCUGACUUUUAUCAUGUCUUGGUAAUUCUUUUUUCUUAAAUAUAUCUUUAAUCAUCAUUCACAUAUUAUGUUAUUCAUGACUGAUACUGCAUUUUUUUCCAGAUUAAGUCCAUAUUGGACAAGGAAAACUUCACGCUGGAAAAACUUCUGGAUGAAGAAGAUAUAAUUCAAGUACUGGCCUGUGCAACCGAUGCUGAAUGAUGUCUGGUUUUGAGGGCGAAAGGAAAUCAGCUUGCAAAUUGGCAAACAAAUUUUUAUGUAACUUUAUUCAUAAAAAGUAAUAUUAUAUUAAGAAAAUGGACUAACUUGAUACUUUAUGUAUCCAGCCUUAGAGACAGAGCUCAAGUAGAACAAUUGGUGCAAUAUAUUAUGGAAGAUGCUCCUGCAGAUGCUGAAAGCAAGCGAGCCUUCAAGUUCCCUUUCAUUGCUUGUGAAAUUUUCACUUGUAAGAUUGAUGUUAUUUUGAAGACAUUAAUAGAGGACGAAGAGGUAGCUGAUUGAUAAUAAGUUCUGCAUCAACAGGCACAUCAUCAUCAGGAGCAGAGAACACUGCAGUCAUCGCUGCUGGUUUAGCUUUAAUAUCAAUCGCUGCAGCAUCAGCAAUUCUUCUCCAAGUCGACAAAAAAGCGCCUCAAGCUUCAGAGUACAGAGUACUCUAGACCUCCACUCAGUUACUUUAUCUGCAAGUUCAAGCUUGCAAGUAUGUAGAGGCUGCAGUUAUUUCUGAGUCUCAAAGUUCUCCAACUGUAGAGGCUUCUGCUUCUUCCUAACCCGAGAUUGCGUCGAAUGUGCAGGCUGAAGGUGAUGCAAGUGCAUCUCCUGAGGUCCAAGUUGAUUUGAAGGUGGAGGGUGAAAGUUCAAGUGUUGAAAAUGUUCCUUGACUGGAUGGAUCAAGCCACUCCUAUAUUAUAUUUUGGAUGUACGAGUCAUUUUGGAUAUUAGAAACAUAUAUAUAAUAUUGGAUGUUUUUCAUUGUGUAUGUAUAUAUAAUAUUUGAUAUUUAGCACUGUUUGAGAUAUUUUUGUGUAUGUAUA